rnacentral:rRNA from 1 species
AGUCACUGACAUUAGAUACCCCUGUAGUCCAGGGUGUAAACGCUGCAGACUUGGUGUUGGGGGCCCUUUGGGGGCAUUCAGUGCCGGAGAGAAGUUGUUAAGUCUGCUACUUGGGGAGUACGUCCGCAAGGAUGAAACUUAAAGGAAUUGGCGGGGAGCACCGCAACGGGAGGAGCGUGCGGUUUAAUUGGAUUCAACACCGUAAACUCACCAGGGAAGACUGUUACAUGAAGGCCGAGAUGAAGACUCUGCUAGAUUUUCAG